GUGACAGCCCCGUACACAAAAAUGCACAUAUUGUGAGCUCGAUGAGUAGGGCGGGACACGUGGUAUCCUGUCUGAAUAUGGGGGGACCAUCCUCCAAGGCUAAAUACUCCUGACUGACCGAUAGUGAACCAGUACCGUGAGGGAAAGGCGAAAAGAACCCCGGCGAGGGGAGUGAAAAAGAACCUGAAACCGUGUACGUACAAGCAGUGGGAGCACGCUUAGGCGUGUGACUGCGUACCUUUUGUAUAAUGGGUCAGCGACUUAUAUUCUGUAGCAAGGUUAACCGAAUAGGGGAGCCGAAGGGAAACCGAGUCUUAACUGGGCGUUAAGUUGCAGGGUAUAGACCCGAAACCCGGUGAUCUAGCCAUGGGCAGGUUGAAGGUUGGGUAACACUAACUGGAGGACCGAACCGACUAAUGUUGAAAAAUUAGCGGAUGACUUGUGGCUGGGGGUGAAAGGCCAAUCAAACCGGGAGAUAGCUGGUUCUCCCCGAAAGCUAUUUAGGUAGCGCCUCGUGAAUUCAUCUCCGGGGGUAGAGCACUGUUUCGGCAAGGGGGUCAUCCCGACUUACCAACCCGAUGCAAACUGCGAAUACCGGAGAAUGUUAUCACGGGAGACACACGGCGGGUGCUAACGUCCGUCGUGAAGAGGGAAACAACCCAGACCGCCAGCUAAGGUCCCAAAGUCAUGGUUAAGUGGGAAACGAUGUGGGAAGGCCCAGACAGCCAGGAUGUUGGCUUAGAAGCAGCCAUCAUUUAAAGAAAGCGUAAUAGCUCACUGGUCGAGUCGGCCUGCGCGGAAGAUGUAACGGGGCUAAACCAUGCACCGAAGCUGCGGCAGCGACGCUUAUGCGUUGUUGGGUAGGGGAGCGUUCUGUAAGCCUGCGAAGGUGUGCUGUGAGGCAUGCUGGAGGUAUCAGAAGUGCGAAUGCUGACAUAAGUAACGAUAAAGCGGGUGAAAAGCCCGCUCGCCGGAAGACCAAGGGUUCCUGUCCAACGUUAAUCGGGGCAGGGUGAGUCGACCCCUAAGGCGAGGCCGAAAGGCGUAGUCGAUGGGAAACAGGUUAAUAUUCCUGUACUUGGUGUUACUGCGAAGGGGGGACGGAGAAGGCUAUGUUGGCCGGGCGACGGUUGUCCCGGUUUAAGCGUGUAGGCUGGUUUUCCAGGCAAAUCCGGAAAAUCAAGGCUGAGGCGUGAUGACGAGGCACUACGGUGCUGAAGCAACAAAUGCCCUGCUUCCAGGAAAAGCCUCUAAGCAUCAGGUAACAUCAAAUCGUACCCCAAACCGACACAGGUGGUCAGGUAGAGAAUACCAAGGCGCUUGAGAGAACUCGGGUGAAGGAACUAGGCAAAAUGGUGCCGUAACUUCGGGAGAAGGCACGCUGAUAUGUAGGUGAAGUCCCUCGCGGAUGGAGCUGAAAUCAGUCGAAGAUACCAGCUGGCUGCAACUGUUUAUUAAAAACACAGCACUGUGCAAACACGAAAGUGGACGUAUACGGUGUGACGCCUGCCCGGUGC
rnacentral:rRNA from 1 species